rnacentral:rRNA from 1 species
CCUACGGGAGGCAGCAGUGAGGAAUAUUGGUCAAUGGACGAGAGUCUGAACCAGCCAAGUAGCGUGAAGGAUGACUGCCCUAUGGGUUGUAAACUUCUUUUAUAAAGGAAUAAAACGAGGCACGUGUGCCUUUUUGCAUGUACUUUAUGAAUAAGGAUCGGCUAACUCCGUGCCAGCAGCCGCGGUAAUACGGAGGAUCCGAGCGUUAUCCGGAUUUAUUGGGUUUAAAGGGAGCGUAGAUGGGUUGUUAAGUCAGUUGUGAAAGUUUGAGGCUCAACCGUAAAAUUGCAAUUGAUACUGGCAGUCUUGAGUACAGUUGAGGUAGGCGGAAUUCGUGGUGUAGCGGUGAAAUGCUUAGAUAUCACGAAGAACCCCGAUGGCGAAGGCAGCUUACUAAACUGUGACUGACAUUGAUGCUCGAAAGUGUGGGUAGCAAACAGGAUUAGAUACCCGAGUAGUC